GAAUUAUUUGGCCCGCGGAUGAGAAAUGAAAAUCUCCCUCCGAAGGAAAAAAAUGGGAGAAGUGUCAAAUUUUAAUCCAAUUUCCCUGAAAGAAUCAUCAUGCCCCUAGACCCUUCCCAGAACUACAAUUAAUCAUUUCCAGCGAGAACCUUUUUUUCCCCAGACUCUGCCCCUAGCCACGCUUCAACGGCCAAACUUCCCUCCCUGGCCCGAAGCAAGGAUUUAGGGACGCAUUCAGAAAAAAAUGAAUCCGCGUUCUGCUGGACGGGUCCAGAGGCGUGAAGAUGCAGUAGUCCGGUGGCUAUUCCGAGCUCAGGCGAGAAAGCACAUUGGAGAGAGGACACAGUUUAUGCAGCAAGAUGGCUUGCAACAAUGGAUUCUGUUUAGUGCACUAUUUGAUAUGAUCAUUUCCUGAAAAAGUGCUCACGUGACACCUUAUUUUCAAAGCAUGGAAGAAAAAAAAAAAAAAAUCAAGUGCCUGCACUGGAGCUAGAUGGAACGGAGUGGAAUUAAAUCCCCUCUCUGAGCAGCGCCAGGAGUAGGCAGGCCCUGGUGAUUGCCGGAUCUUCUACUGCAUACACGCAUUUUCUGCAAAGCCAAUUAAGCGGGCCACCAUAAAUGGGAAUAAAAAUUCUGCCGGAUCAGGUGUUUUUGUUUUCGAGGGGAGGGAAGGGGGGGAAGGGGGCUCGUUUCCAUAGGCAUGCGCACCCCCCUGCCCAUUUUGUACCUUUCUGUGGCUUUUUUACCUCAUUAAAGGAAAGCAUUUAACUGGGGCCCUUGUGGCCUGGUCGUUCUUUGCUGAUUCAGCUAACUUGACGCGGAAUCAAUUUCCAAAGCCUCCACCUCCUGGAAGCAAGAAAAUACGUUUCACUGAACGAUGAUCCUAAUUUGCAGACCGUGCUCGAGAAGGGGAACGAAAAGGAGAAAAGAGCCCACUCUGAAACGAAAAUGAGUUUGAAUUGAGUAAAUGCUAAUCCACAGCGCUUUUUAUCCCGGUGGAAAGAGGGAGGAGGCCUGUCCCGGCAGUUGUGCCGGACACACUCGCGUGCAACAGGGAAGGAGAAUGGUGAGGGAACUUAAUCACUGU